rnacentral:tRNA from 1 species
AAUCUUUUAGUUUAAUAAAAACGUAUAUUUUGAAAAUAUAAGUCAAGAAUUAGAAUUCUUAUAGGUUU